GGCCUUUUGUUAAAUUUUUAAGGUCUAACCUGCCCACUGAAUCUUUAAAGGGCCGCAGUAUUUUGACUGUGCUAAGGUAGCAUAAUCAUUAGUUUUUUAAUUGAAAGCUAGAAUGAAGGGUUGAAUGAAAAAAUUACUGUCUUUGAUUAAUUUAAUUAAAAAUUUAUUUUUAAGUUAAAAAGCUUAAAUUUUUUUAAAAGACGAGAAGACCCUAUAGAGUUUAAUAUAUUAAUAAUUAUUUAAUUUUAGGAUUUUAUAUUUUAUAUUUUUUAAUCUAUUAAGUUGGGGUGAUUGAAAAAUUUAAUAAACUUUUUUUUUAUUUUAAUAUUUAUAAAUAAAUAAAUGAUCCAAUAUUUUUGAUUAUAAGAAUAAAUUACCUUAGGGAUAACAGCGUAAUUUUAUUAGAGAGUUCAAAUCGAUAAUAAAGAUUGCGA
rnacentral:rRNA from 1 species